CAGUAGCCGCGGGAAUACAGAGGGUGCGAGCGUUAAUCUGAUUUACUGGGCGUAAAGCGUGCGUAGGCGGCUUCUUAAGUCGGAUGUGAAAUCCCUGAGCUUAACUUAGGAAUUGCAUUCGAUACUGGGAAGCUAGAGUAUGGGAGAGGAUGGUAGAAUUCCAGGUGUAGCGGUGAAAUGCGUAGAGAUCUGGAGGAAUACCGAUGGCGAAGGCAGCCAUCUGGCCUAAUACUGACGCUGAGGUACGAAAGCAUGGGGAGCAAACAGGAUUAGAUACCCCCGUAGUCCCUGUCUCUUAUAC
rnacentral:rRNA from 1 species